rnacentral:lncRNA from 1 species
AUGGGACCUGAACUAAAUUCAGUGCUAAGUAAUCUCACUUACCCUACUGCAAUAGAGACCCUAGAUCAUAAAGCUAUCACUGAAAAGCUAACCAGUUAUUAUGAUAAAUCUCACAAUAGAUUCAGCGAAGCAAUAAAUUUUCGUAAAAUUCUUCAGAAACCUGGUGAGAAAAUUGUUGAAUUUGUCGCUAGGCUAAAAUUUGGCGCUAAGUACUGUAAAUUUGAAGAAUUCCUCGACUAUUCUCUUACAGUUCAAUUAAUCCACGGGAUCUGCAGGGAUGAUAUUAGGGAUGAAAUCAUCUUAUCAGAACCAAAGACUUUUCAGGAAGCGGUAACUAUGGCUAUGAACAUGGAAGCAUCAAAGGCUGCGACAAAGAUGUUAAAACCUUCAAAUUCAUCAGAUCACACGGUCAACAUUCUUCAUGAUAAGCGUCCAAGACUGAAACACGGUGCUAACUCCAGAUAUCGAAGCCCAAGCCCAAGGUAUGGUCAUUCAAAUUCAAAUUCUCCGAAACGUUACAACUCUGCCAGUCCACCAAAUUCAAGGUAUGAUUAUUCAAAUUCUCCUAGACGUAGUAAUCCCUCUAGUCCAGUCAGAUCUCAUAACUCUACUCACAGGAGUCGUAAACCUUGUUACCCUUGUAAGUCUUGCGGUGGCCAGCAUUGGCGAAGCGAAUGCAAAUUCCGUAAAUAUAAAUGCAAUGUUUGCAAUACAAUAGGCCACCUUGCCGCUGUUUGCAGGAAAUCAAACAGGAAAAAUUCAGUCUAUGAAAUCACGGAACGAAAUCAUUUUGUCGAAGAAACUGAGUACUUACAGGAUGAUAAUAUUUAUCGCAUUCAGUGUCACGAAUCCAGAAAUUCAGCACCAGGUAACGUUUAUCGAACCCAAUGUGAUGCAGACGCACCUCCACCCCCUAUGCGUCUUGAUGUUCUUAUCAAUGGACAACCAUUGUCUAUGGAGCUAGAUACGGCCUCUUCUAUAGCUGUCAUUAGUGCUAAAACCAAAGACCGUUUACUUCCUCAUGCUAAGCUACUUCCUUCUAGCCGGAACUUUUCGAGCUUUACCAAAACUAAAUUCAACACUUUAGGCUACGUACCUGUUAAUGUUACUUUUAAAGGUAGAACCAGAGCAUUAGAUCUUUAUGUAGUCGCUUUUGGCGCUGAUAGUCUUUUCGGCCGUGAAUGGAUCAAGUAUUUCUCCGAUCUAAUUUCUUUUCAGGACUUUACAUCAAUAAACCAAAUUAAAUCCAGUUCUUAUAUCACACCAGAUCUUCAGACUCGUUUAAACAAACUCUGCGAUAGGUUUCCGUCACUGUUCAAGGAUCAAGUCGGUGAAAUGACAGGUCCCAAAGUCGAAUGGCAUUUAAAACAAAAUGCAAAACCCAAGUUUACGUAUCCCCGUCACAUUCCAUAUAGCCUUAAAGAACGGUACAAGAAAUUAUCGACGAGAAAAUUGAAUCUGGUUUAUACGAAAAAGUUACCCAUUCAGAAUGGGCGAGUCCGACACAUGUGGUUGUCAAAGGUGAUAAGAUCCGGAUAA